GUUUGCUGCUUUGCCUCUAGACUCAGUAGUCUGUCGAUCACCCUGCGUUUUGAUUUCAGCCAUGCCUCAGUGUCCUGAAACACAGAGAGGGCUUCUGUCCCACUACUGCCAGCGAAAACUCCAGCAUCUGGUAGCAAUGACGGCAAGUUGGGAAUGUAGCUUUAUGAACUGCCAGGAACAGAAAAAAAUCUACCAAUCUUGUACCCAGGUCACCCAAUAAGCUGCUGGCAAAAAGAUAACCUCAGCUGGCAGUUGCCUGGUCAGAGGUUCCAGUUUCCUGUGUACAAAGGCUUGGCACAGACAAGCAAAUUUCAGUGCUAAGGGACUGUAGGAUGUGGAGUUCUACAAGUGUGCCCCAAGGGCCACCCUAAGGAUUGACUUCAGUCUGUGCCACAAGGAGCAGAUCAGUUCCUGCCAAAAGAAAGAGCCCUAGGACUUGUGUGACCUGCCAGGAAGUUGUCACAUCAGUGCUUUCUCUGAACAAGUGAAGGAAAGAAAAAAACCAUCUAUUUUUGUAUUUUAAAAAAGUGAAGGGAAGGACACAUGAGCUCUAACCUCUGGAGCUAGAAGAAAGCCAAGACUUUCCAACAGGAUCAGCUUGUCCACCAUCUCAGGAUAAAGGAAACAGAACUGAAGAGAGAUGAAACAAUAAGAAAAUGAAAAGCUGAGCACUGAGUGAUGUCUUUAUCCUGUUGCAUGGGAGAGGGGUCAGGGAAGGGCCUCUCCUCCCCUGAGAUCCAGAUCUGUCCCUUCAUUCCUCUCCCAUUUGUUGUCGCAGCUGCAGAAAUCACAACCCCAUGAAGAAAUGAUGCUUUACUCACCAUUCCUGCCACAGCCCCACCUGCAAAGAAGAAAAGGGUGCUCAAUAAUGCACAGAACAGCCCCUGGUAACAGAAAUUCACUUUCCCCACAGCAGGAGCUGCGUCAGAGAUAAAAAUGUGCAUUGUACUAUGGGACAAAACCCCACUACAGAGGAGAGCUCUCCCAGCCCACAACAUGCAGGCAGAGACCAAGGCUGUUGACCUCCUGUGUUCCCCAUCUUGUGCCAUUCCCACCUCCCUCAGACAGCAAAGGCCAAGGAGGAGUUACUCUUUAAAAUGUCUUGGUGUGCAGGUCCUGUUAGCUGUGACUAGAGCAGCCCUGGGAAGCAAACUCCAAAUUGUGGCAAAAUCAAAUAAUAUCCCAAGCUCAAAGGGAUGGAUCCUGGAGUCCAGUUCUGCUCAGGCAGCUUUACAGCCCACCAAAUGGGGCUGUUCCCAGGCUUUGUGGGGACCAGGCAGGAAGGCCUGCUGCUGUGAAUUCUCCUGUGUAGACCACCCCUCUUUACCACUCACUGUUCCGACCUGCGAGUGGGGGAAAUUCUUACAGCAAGAGUUACCACUGUCUGUAUGGCAGGGUCUUGAAAACAGGCAUUUCAAGCACAGGAACAGAUUUCUGAAUCACUCAAGCAGGAACCUGGCAUUUGGCAUAAUAUAAUAAAUAUUCCAACCCAGC